rnacentral:tmRNA from 1 species
GGGGGCGUUUUGGAUUCGACGCCGGUGACAAAACCCAAGGUGCAUGUCGUGAUGACGACCAAUCACGUAAAUCCAAAGUCGUAUUUUAUUAGUUGCCAACGACGACAACUACGCUCUGGCGGCAUAAGCCCGCUAGCAGAAGCCACUGGAUGCCAGUAAACGGGAAGCUUCUGUCAAAUAGAACUGGACCGCAGUGAGGUUGGCUUAGGGCACCACUGUUAAACUUUACUAAGAUCGCCGACCUCGUCCUGCCUAUCGGGCUGAGUGAGGCUAAAUUAAUUGAUAGGGUCUAAGCAUGUAGAGCCGAGGGCGGAGUGCUGACGGACGCGGGUUCAACUCCCGCCGCCUCCACCA